CCUAUGCUGCCGAGAAAAGCCUCUAGUGAGUGUUGUGGCGGCCCGUACCCUAAACCGACUCAGGUGGUCAGGUAGAGAAUACCAAGGCGAUCGGGUGAACUGUGGUUAAGGAACUCGGCAAAUUGCCCCCGUAACUUCGGGAGAAGGGGGACCUCUGUUGGUGAUGGGCUUUACGCCUGGAGCUGGUGGGGUCGCAGUGGCCAGGGGGAAGCGACUGUUUACUAAAAACACAGGUCCGUGCGAAGUCGUAAGACGAUGUAUACGGACUGACGCCUGCCCGGUGCCGGAACGUUAAGGGGACCGCUUAGCUGACGUGAGUUGGCGAAGGUGAGAACUUAAGCGCCGGUAAACGGCGGUGGUAACUAUAACCAUCCUAAGGUAGCGAAAUUCCUUGUCGGGUAAGUUCCGACCUGCACGAAUGGCGUAACGACUUCCCCGCUGUCUCAACCGCAGACCCGGCGAAAUUGCACUACGAGUAAAGAUGCUCGUUUCGCGCAGCAGGACGGAAAGACCCCGGGACCUUCACUACAGCUUGACAUUGGCGUUUGGAACGUCUUGUGUAGGAUAGGUGGGAGACUAGGAAGCUGUCACGCUAGUGAUGGUGGAGUCAUUGGUGAAAUACCACUCUGGUCGUUUUGAACGUCUAACUCUGGUCCGUGAUCCGGAUCGGGGACAGUGUCUGGUGGGUAGUUUAACUGGGGCGGUUGCCUCCUAAAGAGUAACGGAGGCGCCCAAAGGUUCCCUCAGCCUGGUUGGCAAUCAGGUGUUGAGUGUAAGUGCACAAGGGAGCUUGACUGUGAGACUGACAGGUCGAGCAGGAGCGAAAGCUGGUACUAGUGAUCCGGCAUCGGCGUGUGGAAGCGGUGUCGCUCAACGGCUAAAAGGUACCCCGGGGAUAACAGGCUGAUCUUCCCCAAGAGUCCAUAUCGACGGGAUGGUUUGGCACCUCGAUGUCGGCUCGUCGCAUCCUGGGGCUGGAGUAGUCCCAAGGGUUGGGCUGUUCGCCCAUUAAAGCGGUACGCGAGCUGGGUUUAGAACGUCGCGAGACAGUUCGGUCCCUAUCCGCUGCGCGCGCAGGAGACUUGAAGGGGGCUGUCCCUAGUACGAGAGGACCGGGACGGACGAACCUCUGGUGUGCCAGUUGUACCGCCAGGUGCACGGCUGGUUGGCUACGUUCGGAAGGGAUAACCGCUGAAAGCAUCUAAGCGGGAAGCUCGCCUUGAGAUGAGGUCUCCCACCACGAGAGUGGGUAAGGCUCCCGGUAGACGACCGGGUUGAUAGGCCGGAGGUGGAAGCACGGUAACGUGUGGAGCUGACCGGUACUAAUAGGCCGAGGACUUGACCAA
rnacentral:rRNA from 1 species